rnacentral:ncRNA from 16 species
AUUUAUAGAAUAAAUUUAGGUGCUUAUAGCUUAAUAGGGAAGCAGGUGAAAAUCCUGAACGGUCCCGCCGCUGUGAUGGGGAGUUUUUUCAAAGUAAACCACUGGAUAAUAUAUCUGGGAAGGUAUGAAAAAAUAAUGAACCUAAGUCAGAAUACCUACCUAAAUUAAAUACACUAUA